AUACGUAGGGUGCAAGCGUUAAUCGGAAUUACUGGGCGUAAAGCGUGCGCAGGCGGUUUUGUAAGACAGUGGUGAAAUCCCCCGGCUCAACCUGGGAACUGCCAUUGUUACUGCAAGGCUGGAGUGCGGCAGAGGGGGAUGGAAUUUCGCGUGUAGCAGUGAAAUGCGUAGAUAUGCGGAGGAACACCGAUGGCGAAGGCAAUCCCCUGGGCCUGCACUGACGCUCAUGCACGAAAGCGUGGGAGCAAACAGGAUUAGAUACCCUGGUAGUCCACGCCCUAAACGAUGUCAACUGGUUGUUGGGGAUUUAUUUUCUCAGUAACGAAGCUAACGCGUGAAGUUGACCGCCUGGGGAGUACGGCCGCAAGGUUAAAACUCAAAUGAAUUGACGGGG
rnacentral:rRNA from 1 species